CAGAUUCAUUCUGGCAAAGAGAAACAUUUUCGGGAGAGUAGUCGUUUUUAAGUAUAUCAGACAAAAUCUGAUUUGUUAGAUAACCAUUCGUUUUGAAAUAUUUCAAUAAUUUUGCAGGAAAUUACGUACCUUUGCAGACAGCAUAGCCAAAGUAUCAGUUGGCUGAAAUUCUGCACGGGCCAUCCCCCGUUUGCUGCGAAAGCGCAAAAUCUUUAAACUGUUAGUAACAAUAUUUAAAACGAUUGCUUUGCAUACCAUUUCGAAGCAAGAGUAAAGGUGAAGGAUGAGCAAACUAAGCUUACGACUAUGUAAGCUAU